rnacentral:rRNA from 1 species
GGGAAUUUUUGACAAUGGCGAAAGCCUGAUCCAGCAAUGCCGCGUGCAGGAUGAAGCCUUCGGGUUGUAAACUGCUUUUGUACGGAACGAAAAAGCUUCUCCUAAUACGAGAGGCCCAUGACGGUACCGUAAGAAUAAGCACCGGCUAACUACGUGCCAGCAGCCGCGGUAAUACGUAGGGUGCGAGCGUUAAUCGGAAUUACUGGGCGUAAAGCGUGCGCAGGCGGUUAUGUAAGACAGAUGUGAAAUCCCCGGGCUCAACCUGGGAACUGCAUUUGUGACUGCAUGGCUAGAGUACGGUAGAGGGGGAUGGAAUUCCGCGUGUAGCAGUGAAAUGCGUAGAUAUGCGGAGGAACACCGAUGGCGAAGGCAAUCCCCUGGACCUGUACUGACGCUCAUGCACGAAAGCGUGGGGAGCACACAGGAUUAGAUACCCUGGUAGUCCACGCCCUAAACGAUGUCAACUGGUUGUUGGGAAUUAGUUUUCUCAGUAACGAAGCUAACGCGUGAAGUUGACCGCCUGGGGAGUAC